rnacentral:snRNA from 1 species
GUGAUCGCUUUGGCAACAUACAUGCUAAAAUCAGAAUGAUACAUGUGCACGGUACCUGCAUAAAGAUAGCAUGCAAAUUCAUAAAGUGUUCCGUAUUUUA